rnacentral:rRNA from 1 species
AUUGAACGCUGGCGGCAUGCUUUACACAUGCAAGUCGAACGGCAGCGCGGGCUUCGGCCUGGCGGCGAGUGGCGAACGGGUGAGUAAUGCAUCGGAACGUGCCCAGUAGUGGGGGAUAGCCCGGCGAAAGCCGGAUUAAUACCGCAUACGACCUGAGGGUGAAAGCGGGGGACCGAAAGGCCUCGCGCUAUUGGAGCGGCCGAUGUCGGAUUAGCUAGUUGGUGGGGUAAAGGCUUACCAAGGCGACGAUCCGUAGCUGGUCUGAGAAGACGACCAGCCACACUGGGACUGAGACACGGCCCAGACUCCUACGGGAGGCAGCAGUGGGGAAUUUUGGACAAUGGGGGCAACCCUGAUCCAGCCAUGCCGCGUGCGGGAAGAAGGCCUUCGGGUUGUAAACCGCUUUUGUUCGGGAAGAAAUCCUCUGGGCUAAUACCCCGGGGGGAUGACGGUACCGGAAGAAUAAGCACCGGCUAACAACGUG